UGCCCUAGUAACGGCGAGUGAAGCGGCAAGAGCUCAAAUUUGAAAUCUGGCCCUCUCAGGGUCCGAGUUGUAAUUUGUAGAGGGCGCUUUGGCGUUGGCCCCGGCCUAAGUUCCUUGGAACAGGACGUCACAGAGGGUGAGAACCCCGUACGUGGCCGCCGGCCUCCGCCGUGUAAAGCCCCUUCGACGAGUCGAGUUGUUUGGGAAUGCAGCUCUAAAUGGGAGGUAAAUUUCUUCUAAAGCUAAAUACUGGCCAGAGACCGAUAGCGCACAAGUAGAGUGAUCGAAAGAUGAAAAGCACUUUGGAAAGAGAGUCAAAAAGCACGUGAAAUUGUUGAAAGGGAAGCGCUUGCAGCCAGACUUGCCUGUAGUUGCUCAUCCGAGCUCCCGCUCGGUGCACUCUUCUGCGGGCAGGCCAGCAUCAGUCCGGGCGGUCGGAUAAAGGCCUCGGGAAUGUAGCUCCCCUCGGGGAGUGUUAUAGCCCGGGGCGCCAUGCGACCAGCCUGGACUGAGGUCCGCGCAUCUGCUAGGAUGCUGGCGUAAUGGCUGUAAGCGGCCCGUCUUGAAACACGGACCAAGGAGUCUAACAUCUAUGCGAGUGUUUGGGUGUCAAGCCCGGGCGCGCAAUGAAAGUGAACGGAGGUGGGAACCCCUCGGGGCGCACCAUCGACCGAUCCUGAUGUCUUCGGAUGGAUUUGAGUAAGAGCAUAGCUGUUGGGACCCGAAAGAUGGUGAACUAUGCCUGAAUAGGGUGAAGCCAGAGGAAACUCUGGUGGAGGCUCGCAGCGGUUCUGACGUGCAAAUCGAUCGUCAAAUUUGGGCAUAGGGGCGAAAGACUAAUCGAACUAUCUAGUAGCUGGUUCCUGC
rnacentral:rRNA from 1 species